rnacentral:rRNA from 1 species
GAUGAACGCUGGCGGCGUGCUUAACACAUGCAAGUCGAACGAAGCACUUUGGACAGAUUCUUCGGAUGAAGUCCCUGGUGACUGAGUGGCGGACGGGUGAGUAACGCGUGGGUAACCUGCCUCAUACAGGGGGAUAACAGUUAGAAAUGGCUGCUAAUACCGCAUAAGCGCACGGAACCGCAUGGUUUUGUGUGAAAAACUCCGGUGGUGUGAGAAGUACCGGACCGU